UCCGGGGUCGUCUAAAGGUAGGACGGCAGAUUUUGGAUCUGCUUAUCGAGGUUCGAAUCCUUGCCCCGGAGCCA
rnacentral:tRNA from 1 species